rnacentral:rRNA from 1 species
UACGUAGGGACCAAGCGUUGUUCGGAUUUACUGGGCGUAAAGGGCGCGUAGGCGGCGUGGUAAGUCACUUGUGAAAUCUCUGAGCUUAACUCAGAACGGUCAAGUGAUACUGCUGUGCUAGAGUGCGGAAGGGGCAAUCGGAAUUCUUGGUGUAGCGGUGAAAUGCGUAGAUAUCAAGAGGAACACCUGAGGUGAAGACGGGUUGCUGGGCCGACACUGACGCUGAUGCGCGAAGCCAGGGAGCAAACGGG